rnacentral:rRNA from 1 species
UAAGUGGAGAGUUUGAUCCUGGCUCAGAACGAACGCUGGCGGCGUGCCUAACACAUGCAAGUCGAACGAGAAACUCCGGGCUUGCUCGGAGGAGUAAAGUGGCGCACGGGUGAGUAACGCGUGGGUAACCUGCCCUUGAAUCUGGGAUAACCCCGUGAAAACGGGACUAAUACCGGAUACUGUCCCUUUGGCUGUGGCCCUUGGGAUGAAAGGUGACCUCUCCAUGGAAGUUGUCGUUCGAGGAGGGGCCCGCGUACCAUUAGCUUGUUGGUGGGGUAAUGGCCUACCAAGGCAACGAUGGUUAGCUGGUCUGAGAGGAUGAUCAGCCACACUGGAACUGAAACACGGUCCAGACUCCUACGGGAGGCAGCAGUGAGGAAUUUUGCGCAAUGGGGGAAACCCUGACGCAGCAACGCCGCGUGAGUGAAGAAGG